rnacentral:tRNA from 1 species
GGAAGCGUGGGUGAGCGGUCGAAACCACCUCUCUGCUAAGGAGGCAGUCCUUCGGAGCUCGAAAGUUCGAAUCUUUCCGUUUCCG